UACGUAGGUAGCAAGCGUUGUCCGGAGUUAUUGGGCGUAAAGCGCGCGCAGGCGGUGCGGUAAGUCUCUGGUGAAAGCGCUCGGCUUAACUGGGCGAGGGCCGGGGAGACUGCCACGCUGGAGGGGAGCAGAGGCGAGUGGAAUUCCGGGUGUAGUGGUGAAAUGCGUAGAGAUCCGGAGGAACACCAGUGGCGAAGGCGGCUCGCUGGGCUCUACCUGACGCUGAGGCGCGAAAGCGUGGGGAGCGAACCGG
rnacentral:rRNA from 1 species